CUAGACUUACUUUAAAAGCUUGAGAAAGGAAGAAAGAAGAAAAAGGUAUUUGUACAUGGCAGAUUGAGACAAAGCUUCUCAAUGGAGUUAAAAAAGCCUUUGGUUGAAGGGCAGCCAUGUAAACUAACAUUAAAGAGAUUUAAACAGAAUCUAAGACUCGUUUAAAAGAGUGAAGCUGUAGGUGGUGAAAAAGUACAUUUAAAAGUACAGUAUAGAUGAUAAUUGGAAGGCUUUAAAAGGUUAAAUUGAAGGUGGUUAAAAUGCCUUCAUGACGAGGAAAGAUUGCAUCAUUCUGCU
rnacentral:lncRNA from 1 species